UGAGGAAUAUUCCACAAUGGGCGAAAGCCUGAUGGAGCGACGCCGCGUGGAGGAAGAAGGCCUUCGGGUUGUAAACUCCUUUUGUUCGGGAUGACACACCGGGGUAACCCGGUUAGGACAGUACCGAACGAAUAAGCCUCGGCUAACUACGUGCCAGCAGCCGCGGUAAUACGUAGGAGGCGAGCGUUGUCCGGAUUUACUGGGCGUAAAGGGCGCGCAGGCGGCAGUGCAAGUACGGAGUGAAAUCUCCCUGCUCAACGGGGAGGGUGCUCUGUAAACUGCACAGCUAGAGGACGGUAGAGGGGGGUGGAAUUGCUGGUGUAGCGGUGAAAUGCGUAGAGAUCAGCAGGAACACCCGUGGCGAAGGCGGCCCCCUGGGCCGAACCUGACGCUGAGGCGCGAAGGCUAGGGGAGCGAACGG
rnacentral:rRNA from 1 species